GAUGCUGGUCGCGACUGGCGAGGGUGGGGUUCACCACCGGGGAGCGACCGGAACGCCCCCGCAGCUGCGCCGCCCGCCUGGGCGCCUGGG
rnacentral:ncRNA from 2 species